rnacentral:rRNA from 1 species
AGUGAACGCUGGCGGUAGGCCUAACACAUGCAAGUCGAACGGCAGCAGAGUAAGAGCUUGCUCUUACGGGUGGCGAGUGGCGGACGGGUGCGGAAUACAUCGGAAUCGACUUUUUCGUGGGGGAGCACGUAGGGAAACUUACGCUAAUAGGGCAUACGACCUACGGGUGAAAGCAGGGGACCUUCGGACCUGGCGCGAUUGAAUGAGCCGAUGUCGGAUUAGCAAGUUGGCGGGGUAAAGGCCCAGCAAGGCGACGAUUCGUAGCCGGGCUGAGAGGGGGAACCGCCACACCGGAACUGAGGCACCGUCCACACUCCCACGGGGGGCAGCAGUGGGGAAUAUUGGGCCAUUGGCGCAAACCUGAUCCAGCCAUACCGCGUGGGUGAAGGAGGCCUUCGGGUUUUAAAGCCCUUUUUUUGAGAAAGAAAAGCAGCAUGUUUAUUCCCCGCUGUUCUGGCGGUACCCUAAGGAUAAGCCCCCGCUAACUUCGUG